UCCCUGUAGGAUGAGUUUAAUAUAUAAGAGAAUAUGCUCAUGGAUUAGGACAAGUUUGAGCUUCUUCAUUGAUCUUCUCUCUUUCCCAUUGAGAGGAAUAUGGAUUACCGUCGCCCACUCCUGUAGAAGAUCAUUCUCGUUUGUAGGAUCUCCGACGACAAAUAAAGGAAAGGAAAAGAUUUAGCAAGGAAGGCGACAAGGUGGUGCGAAUGGUGUGUGAUGCGUGGACUGUGGGAGAGAACUGGGAAGUUUUGCAUUUUCGUGUUUAGUGGAUAAGAAGUAAUUGAGUUGUACUCUAUGGUUGAAGUCAUUGAGACUGUAUUUUAUAUAUUCUAUGUUCCUAUUGAGUUUAUUCGUGUUUUAGUUUGUAUGCUGUGAUGAGUUUCUAUGUAAUAGGUAGAUAUUAUAGUUUUUGUCACUUAUUAAA